ensembl:lncRNA
GUUUGAUCCCUGGGUCAGGAAGAUCCCCUGGAGAAGGGAAUGGCUACCCACUCCAGUAUUCUUGCCUGGAGAAUUCCAUGGAUAGAGGAGCCUGGUGGGCUACAGUUCAUGAGAAAAAUAUUUUCCCCUCUACAAUCCAUUAUAAUUGAUCUUCCUUCUCAACUGAAGACAUGUCAGAAAACUGGACUUAACAGCUUUAGGCGAUACUUGAAUUGUCAGCAGGCACUGAGGCUUAACGCCAAGCAAGGAAGACACAGAUUCUGGUCAGAAUUUUCUAUAAAUAUGCAGAGUACAUCAUGCAAGAUUCUGGGCUGGAUGAAACACAAGAAAGCUGAGUGCUGAAGAAUGGAUGCUUUUGAACUGUGGUACUGGAGAAGAGUCUUGAGAGUUCCUUGAACUGCAAGGAGAUAAAACCAGUCAAUCGUAAAGGAAAUCAGUUCAGAAUAUUCAUUGGAAGGACUGAUGCUGAAGCUGAAACUCCAAUACUUUGGCCACCUAAUGCAAAGAACUGGCUCAUUGGAAAAGACCCUGAUGCUGGGCAAGAUUGAAGGCAGGAGGAGAAGGGGACAACAGAGAAUGAGAUGGUUGGAUGGCAUCACCGAUCCAAUGGACAUGAGUCUGAACAUGCUCUGGGAGUUGGUGAUGGACAGGGAAGCCUGGCGUGCUUCAGUCCAUGGGGUCACAAAGAGUCGGACAUGACUAAGUGACUGAACUGAACUGAUGGGUGUUAUAUUUGUUUAUGCUCAAUAUCUGAUCUGUGGCAUCUAACUCAUGGUUUGUCACAUAAUAUCUACUCAAUAAAUAGUUUUGGAAGACGUGAGUGGACUGCCUUUAGUCCACAUCAAGCACUGUAACUCAUUUUCUACCUAAUGUCCCUUCAGAUCUUUGAGAAGCAUCAUGCUCCCCACUCUGACUCAGAUGUUCUCACUUCAGAAAUAAUAAUGCCAUUUGUUUAUUCAAUCAACCUUUAUGUUAAAUGUUUUCUGAUCUUUUAUAACCCCAUUCACUCCUCCUUGAAUGGAGUUUUCAUUGUCUAGGUAAAUAC